rnacentral:rRNA from 1 species
GACGAACGCUGGCGGCGUGCUUAACACAUGCAAGUCGAACGAAGUGGCGAACGGGUGAGUAACGCGUAAUCAACCUGCCCUUCAGAGGGGGACAACAGUUGGAAACGACUGCUAAUACCGCAUACUGAAGGAGCGGCCGAUGCCCGAUUAGCUAGUUGGUGAGGUAAAGGCUCACCAAGGCGACGAUCGGUAGCUGGUCUGAGAGGACGACCAGCCACACUGGGACUGAGACACGGCCCAGACUCCUACGGGAGGCAGCAGUGGGGAAUUUUGGACAAUGGGGGCAACCCUGAUCCAGCCAUGCCGCGUGCAGGAUGAAGGUCUUCGGAUUGUAAACUGCUUUUGUCAGGGAAGCGGUACCUGAAGAAUAAGCACCGGCUAACUACGUGCCAGCAGCCGCGGUAAUAC